rnacentral:misc_RNA from 1 species
UCCAGUGACAAUGAUUCAAAUAAGCAAUCGCAAGCGAUUGAAGAGGAGAGAGAAAGACGGUACUACUUGCCACUGUAUAAAGCAGCUCUGAGAGGUGAUUGGGAAGCUGCAAGUAGAAUUUUUUGUGAUGAUCCUGGUGCAGUAACUGCUAUGAUUUCAGGCAUUGGAGAGAUUACUCUUCAUGUUGCAAUUGGCAAAGGUCGCUCUUCCAUAAGAUUCAUACAGAAGCUUGUAGAAUUAAUGCCGGCGGAUUUCUUAGUAGCGGCAAAUAAUGAUGGUGAAACACCUCUUCAUUAUGCUGCUAUUGCUGGAAAUGUUCAAGCAAUAAGGAUCUUGGUGACAAAGAAUCGAGCGGUGCUGGAUAUAGAAAACAGACAUGGCAGUCUACCACUCCAUUAUGCUGCCCAAUUUUGCCAAAAGGAAGCAGUUUCCUAUCUUUUGUCAGUGACAGAUCUAAGUGAAUUCUCAGGCAUACAUGGCGUCAGACUUGUCAAUCUUUUAAUAAUUGCUGAUUUCUAUGAUAUGGCCCUUGAUGUACUACGGAGAUAUCCCAAAUUAGCUAUUGAAAGAGAUUAUGAAGGGACAACUGCCUUGGCGACGUUGGCAAAUAUGCCUCAUGCAUUUCCAAGUGGAAGCAAGCUUGGGUUUUGUGAUCGCUUAUUGUAUCGAUUUGCUUCGGUACAUUCAGAUGGUGUCCCUCGAGGUGGAGAUUUGGAAAGUAUAGCUGACAGUUCAAAAGAAUACCAAAAAGAAUCAAAGAAAUUUGGGUUUCUACACAACACAAAGAAUACAAAGUUGAAGCACAUUCUAGCAUUAGAGCUACUCAGACUCUUGAUUACGGAAGCUUUAGACGCAAGACCCUCAGAAACUCGCAUGCUACUGAAAAAUCCACUACACACUUCUGCUAGAUUGGGGAUUUAUGAAGUGGUUGUGGAGAUUAUAAAGGCC